rnacentral:rRNA from 1 species
AUGCAGUCGAGCGGAGUGAUAGUGCUUGCACUAUCACUUAGCGGCGGACGGGUGAGUAAUGCUUAGGAAUCUGCCUAUUAGUGGGGGACAACAUUUCGAAAGGAAUGCUAAUACCGCAUACGUCCUACGGGAGAAAGCAGGGGAUCUUCGGACCUUGCGCUAAUAGAUGAGCCUAAGUCGGAUUAGCUAGUUGGUGGGGUAAAGGCCUACCAAGGCGACGAUCUGUAGCGGGUCUGAGAGGAUGAUCCGCCACACUGGGACUGAGACACGGCCCAGACUCCUACGGGAGGCAGCAGUGGGGAAUAUUGGACAAUGGGCGCAAGCCUGAUCCAGCCAUGCCGCGUGUGUGAAGAAGGCCUUAUGGUUGUAAAGCACUUUAAGCGAGGAGGAGGCUACUUUAGUUAAUACCUAGAGAUAGUGGACGUUACUCGCAGAAUAAGCACCGGCUAACUCUGUGCCAGCAGCCGCGGUAAUACAGAGGGUGCAAGCGUUAAUCGGAUUUACUGGGCGUAAAGCGCGCGUAGGCGGCUAAUUAAGUCAAAUGUGAAAUCCCCGAGCUUAACUUGGGAAUUGCAUUCGAUACUGGUUAGCUAGAGUGUGGGAGAGGAUGGUAGAAUUCCAGGUGUAGCGGUGAAAUGCGUAGAGAUCUGGAGGAAUACCGAUGGCGAAGGCAGCCAUCUGGCCUAACACUGACGCUGAGGUGCGAAAGCAUGGGGAGCAAACAGGAUUAGAUACCCUGGUAGUCCAUGCCGUAAACGAUGUCUACUAGCCGUUGGGGCCUUUGAGGCUUUAGUGGCGCAGCUAACGCGAUAAGUAGACCGCCUGGGGAGUACGGUCGCAAGACUAAAACUCAAAUGAAUUGACGGGGGCCCGCACAAGCGGUGGAGCAUGUGGUUUAAUUCGAUGCAACGCGAAGAACCUUACCUGGCCUUGACAUAGUAAGAACUUUCCAGAGAUGGAUUGGUGCCUUCGGGAACUUACAUACAGGUGCUGCAUGGCUGUCGUCAGCUCGUGUCGUG